AGAGUUUGAUCCUGGCUCAGAACGAACGCUGGCGGCGUGCCUAACACAUGCAAGUCGAACGUGAUCCAUCCUUCGGGGUGGUGAAAGUGGCGCACGGGUGAGUAACGCGUGGAUAAUCUGCCCGAGGAUUUGGGAUAACAUCUCGAAAGGGGUGCUAAUACCGAAUAAGCCCACGGGGUCUACGGAUCUUGCGGGAAAAGGGGGGGACCUUCGGGCCUCCUGUCUUCGGAUGAGUCCGCGUACCAUUAGCUAGUUGGUGGGGUAAUGGCCUACCAAGGCGACGAUGGUUAGCUGGUCUGAGAGGAUGAUCAGCCACACUGGAACUGAGACACGGUCCAGACUCCUACGGGAGGCAGCAGUGGGGAAUUUUGCGCAAUGGGGGAAACCCUGACGCAGCAACGCCGCGUGGGUGAUGAAGGCCUUCGGGUCGUAAAGCCCUGUCGGGAGGGAAGAAAUGAUUGUGAGCUAAUACCUCAUGGUCUUGACGGUACCUCCGAAGGAAGCACCGGCUAACUCCGUGCCAGCAGCCGCGGUAAUACGGAGGGUGCAAGCGUUGUUCGGAAUUAUUGGGCGUAAAGCGCGUGUAGGCGGUCUUUUAAGUCUGAUGUGAAAGCCCCGGGCUCAACCUGGGAAGUGCAUUGGAAACUGGAAGACUUGAGUACGGGAGAGGAGAGUGGAAUUCCUAGUGUAGGAGUGAAAUCCGUAGAUAU
rnacentral:rRNA from 1 species